GACGAACGCUGGCGGCGUGCUUAACACAUGCAAGUCGAACGGAAAGGCCCUGCUUUUGUGGGGUGCUCGAGUGGCGAACGGGUGAGUAACACGUGAGUAACCUGCCCUUGACUUUGGGAUAACUUCAGGAAACUGGGGCUAAUACCGGAUAGGAGCUCCUGCUGCAUGGUGGGGGUUGGAAAGUUUCGGCGGUUGGGGAUGGACUCGCGGCUUAUCAGCUUGUUGGUGGGGUAGUGGCUUACCAAGGCUUUGACGGGUAGCCGGCCUGAGAGGGUGACCGGCCACAUUGGGACUGAGAUACGGCCCAGACUCCUACGGGAGGCAGCGGUGGGGAAUAUUGCACAAUGGGCGGAAGCCUGAUGCAGCAACGCCGCGUGCGGGAUGACGGCCUUCGGGUUGUAAACCGCUUUCGCCGGUGACGAAGCGUGAGUGACGGUAAUGGGUAAAGAAGCACCGGCUAACUACGUG
rnacentral:rRNA from 1 species